AUGUGAACAGUGCGUGACCUGGAGAGAGAAGGCUUCCAUAGGAAAUGUUCAUUUGGCUGAAACGCAGCUCAGGACUGCAGACCUGGCGCCUUUCCCCUUCUCUUCAGCCUGCACCAGGAUCUGAACGUCCGCAGAGGCCUGGAGGGGAGCGGAUCUGCUGGAAUCUCACUCUUUACACCGUCAACAGUUGAAAAUGAGAACCGGACACAAGCAUCAAUAUCCGAACAGAAUAAAGACAAGAAAACUACCGACAGUAACUCUACCUCUAGCAAGUGAAAGUACAGUUUUAAUCUCCAGUAAGUCGGUCACGUCCAGAUUUGUCGUCUGCAGUGUAAACGACCUGCUGCCUGUGCCGCCAUUCUCUACACCUCUUCUUCAUUUCCACGCACGGUGGGAGAGCCAGAGCGCAUGGUGUGGUAAUCCCUGCUGGAAGGCGUCACCAUAUACUGUCAUUAAUGAAACCAAAGCUGCCACACAUGAAUAACCUAUACACAAACACACAGAUACUGUAUGCAUGUACAUGUACACACCCAUGCCCAGGGUUGGCAGAAGGUUGAAUGCUGGUAGCUGUAGCAACUUGUAGAUUACAGCUCAAGGUUUAUAUCUCUCUGUAGGUCGUGUUAUGGUGGCUCAGAUUUAUCCUCUGUAGUCAAUUAAAGGCAUGGAUUGUUCCUCUUUGUUGUCGUCAUCAUUGUUAUAGUGUGUGUAUAACGCUGUGAGGUCUAAACUCUUUGCUUAGUUCUGUGUAUUGUCUCAGAAUCGCAAAAAUCCUUCUUUAAAAGUCUUAUGGGAAUUUCAGCAGUGAC